rnacentral:rRNA from 1 species
AAUAGAUACCCGGGUAGUCCAUGCAGUAAACGAUGAGAGCUAGGUAUUGGGAAUUUUCUCAGUGCCGCCGCUAACGCAGUAAGCUCUCCGCCUGGGAAGUAAAGUCGCAAGAUCGAAACUUAAAGGAAUUGACGGGGAUUAGAACAAUUGGUGGAUUAUGUGGUUUAAUUCGAAGGUACACGAAAACCUUACCAGCUCUUGACAUGUUAGUCGUAGGAAUAAGAAACUAUUCCGUCGGUUCGGCCGGACUAACACAGGUGCUGCAUGGCCGUCGUCAGCUCGUGUCGUGAGAUGUUGGGUUAAGUCCCAUAACGAGCGCAACCCUUGUCUCUAGUUGCUAACAGGUAAUGCUGAGGACUUUAGAGAGACUGACAGCGCUAAGCUGUAGGAAGGUGGGGAUGAAGUCAGGUCCUUAUGGCCCUUAUGGGCUGGGCUACACAUGUAAUACAAUGGUGACUACAAAGAGAAAUAUAGCAAUUGGGCGACCAGGAGCAAAUCUAUAAAAGUCAUCUCAGUCCGGAUUGGUCU